rnacentral:rRNA from 1 species
UACGUAGGUGACUAGCGUUGUCCGGAUUUACUGGGCGUAAAGAGCGCGCAGGCGGUCGUUCAAGUCGAGUGUGAAAGCCCCCGGCUCAACUGGGGAGGGUCACUCGAUACUGAUCGACUUGAAGGCAGGAGAGGGAAGCGGAAUUCCCGGUGUAGUGGUGAAAUGCGUAGAUAUCGUGAGGAACACCAGAGGCGAAGGCGGCUACCUGGACAAUUGCUGACGCUCAGGCACGAAAGCGUGGGGAGCAAAAGGG